rnacentral:rRNA from 1 species
UCAGGACGAACGCUGGCGGCGUGCCUAAUACAUGCAAGUAGAACGCUGAGGACUGGUGCUUGCACUGGUCUAAGGAGUUGCGAACGGGUGAGUAACGCGUAGGUAACCUACCUCAUAGCGGGGGAUAACUAUUGGAAACGAUAGCUAAUACCGCAUGACAAUAGGGUACACAUGUACCCUAUUUAAAAGGGGCAAAUGCUUCACUAUGAGAUGGACCUGCGUUGUAUUAGCUAGUUGGUAAGGUAACGGCUUACCAAGGCGACGAUACAUAGCCGACCUGAGAGGGUGAUCGGCCACACUGGGACUGAGACACGGCCCAGACUCCUACGGGAGGCAGCAGUAGGGAAUCUUCGGCAAUGGGGGGAACCCUGACCGAGCAACGCCGCGUGAGUGAAGAAGGUUUUCGGAUCGUAAAGCUCUGUUGUUAGAGAAGAAC